AAUUUAAAAGAAAGAGAGCUAAGGUAUAAUCCUUCCUCAUCUUCCCAUAAUGCCAUAUACAGUCUUGAAAUUUUCAGUGCCUCUGUAGUUGACUCUAAGUGAAAAAGGAAAUUUAAGGUUAGUGACAAGAAUUUUACAUUUUCAAUAGUAAUUACAACUUAGGGAGUUAUUUGUCCAUUUUGCUUGAAUGUCUAAUGAAUGAGAUUAGAAAUGACCAUAUCAGUUAGAGGGUACAUGUUGCAUAUAUUGGGGAUAAGAUGACGGAGAGUCAUGUUUAGUCUAGAACAUCGAAUGCCCUAGUACGGGAGUGAUACAAGUUAGUGGUGGAAUGAGUGAGAAGGGAAAGAGGGAGAUCUAAGUGGCGUGGAGGGGAGUAGUAUUUUACAAUUUUUGGAUAUUGAUAUGGAA
rnacentral:misc_RNA from 1 species